rnacentral:rRNA from 1 species
CCCUUAGAUGUUCUGGGCCGCACGCGUGCUACACUGAGUAAUUCAAUGGGUAAGGGAACGCUAGAGCAUUACCUAAUCUUGAAAUUUGCUCGUGAUGGGGAUCGACGGUUGCAAUUUUCCGUCGUGAACGAGGAAUACCUUGUAGGCGCAUGUCAUCAUCAUGCGCCGAAUACGUCCCUGCCCUUUGUACACACCGCCCGUCGCUCCUACCGAUUGGGUGUGCUGGUGAAAUGUUCGGAUCGGCCGUUUGUCGCGGUUUCCGCGUCAUGUGGCUGAGAAGUUCAUUAAACCCUCCCACCUAGAGGAAGGAGAAGUCGUAACA